UACGUAGGGUGCAAGCGUUUGUCCGGAAUUAUUGGGCGUAAAGAGCUCGUAGGCGGUUUUGUCGCGUCUGCUGUGAAAAACUCGGGGCUUAACUCCGGGCCUGCAGUGGGUACGGGGCAGACUAGAGUGCGGUAGGGGGAGACUGGAAUUCCUGGUGUAGCGGUGAAAAUGCGCAGAUAUCAGGAGGAACACCGGUGGCGAAGGCGGGUCUCUGGAACGGUACUGACGCUGAGACGCGAAAAGCGUGGGGGAGCGAAACAGG
rnacentral:rRNA from 1 species